AUAUAUUUUCCAAACUCAAAAAGAAAUUGUCCUUUGAAGAGAAGGUGAAGCAAGAUGGGCGAAGAGAAGGUGAAGCAAGGUGGGCAAAGAGAAGCCUUCACUGAAUGCCCUCCUUGCAGGAAUGCCAAACCGCACAACUAUCCAUGCAAAAACGAACCUUCAUAGGAACCAAAAGUCAAGUGAGUGAUCAGAGUACCUGGUUUUAACUUCAUACCACUGAAAAAGGAACUGAAGAAGCUCUGCCAACAAGGCAACUGGGGAAGAGAAGGGCUGAAUGAACACAAAAUUUCUGGUUGCUGCACAAAACAAGAUCAAAGAAAAGAGAAGAAUAAUCAGAGAAGCCAGCUGCCAUCCUGCUUGGUGAGGCCCACCUGGUGAGAAACUGAAGCAUCUUGUCAGUAGCAAUGUGAGUGAGCUUGGGAACAGAUCUUCCAUACCAGUCAAAUCUUCAGAUGACUGUAAUCCCAGCCGACAUUUUGACUGCAACUUUAUGAGCUAGAACCGCACAGCUAAGCUGCUCUUAGAUUUCUGACUCAGAAGCUGUGUGAGCAUAAGUGCAUUGUUAUCAAUUGCUAAGUUUUGAGAUGAUUUGUUGUAGAUAAAUAAUAUACCAUAGAAUCAUGCUUGAGUUGCUCUUUUCAAAACCAGACCCUUCUUUAAUUCCGUGUAUCCCAUCAGCUCCUGUCACAUUUCCCUUUUCCUUUUUAAAACAUUUCCAUUUCUUACUUUGCUGUAUUUUUUCAGUCCAUUUCAGACUUUUGUUCUUACCACUCUAUUCAAAUUGCUCGUGUCAAAGUCACUGAAGACUUCAAUGUUACAUCCAAUAGUAAAUUUAUACAUACAUUUUUUAUCACAGUUGGCCUCUCCGGUUGGUAAUAUUUAACUUGAAGCAUUGUCUUUGCAUGGUUUCCAGGAAAAUCCAGUUUCCAUUUUUCAUUUCUCCUUCUCCUCAUCUUUCAGUGUUGCGUUUCCCUAGAGCCGUGUUUUGAUUAGUUAUUCCGAUUCUACACCUACUGAUUGUUCAGUUACACCAUACUGAAUAACAUUUGAAAAGUCAAGCAAUGGAUAAAGUUUCCCUGAACAUAAAAAAAAUCAGUGUCAAGAGGCUUUUUUUAUUUUUUAAUUUGGGCAGGGACUUUGGUCAUCCAAUAGAACCAAAUGUUCUCUGUUUUUUUCAGAAUUCUGUCUGAACACUAGUUAGGAAUGUUCCAUAACUGCCAGACUAAUAUAAUACAGAUAUUUAUAUAUAUUUUAAAGUUUCAUUUUUAUUGAGAGUCCUGGUUUGUCCAGUUUCCAGAAGGCUGAUUGUGAUUCCAUCUGAGUAAUUGUUUGUAAGCUCAAGGCUAUAGAUUCGGACUGACCUCAUUUGCAAAAGAAUUAGUUCAAACUUCUGAGUCCAUUGGGCAACAUCUGUCCUCAGAUACACAUUUAGACACAUGACUCACUUGUUGCUCUGCUUGUUAGAAAGACAUUAUGAUAGGACACCAGAGAAGCUGGAGGUAACCAGGGAGCCACUAUGCAGUGGAAUGUUGACUUUUCCUAUACUGCUUGAUUGUCUCUGAUGAAUUCCAGGCUGCUCUACAAAAUAAAAGAACAACUUUAGAGCAGCUGAAACUGAAUACAAAAUAGACUUGGAGGUAAAGCAUUUAUGUUUGUUUAUAAGGCUCUUUACUUGUGAACUGAGCCUGUGUGGAUUCAUCUGUCACAAGGUUACACUCAAGAUGUUGGCUGGAGCUUCUGUCAUCUGAAGGCGUGACUUGGACUGUUAUGUUCACUUCCAAGACUGAAACUUUAGAACUGAAAAACAGAAUACAUGAAAUAAAAAACUUACUGGAUGGGCUAAAUAGAAGUCUGGAAAUGAGAGAG
rnacentral:lncRNA from 1 species